CAGUACAUACCCUUCUCCUGCCCUGUCAGGCAGAGUCCCUUUAUGUUCCCAGGGCCCCUGCAGUGUUAUUCCUUAUGUACAUAUGUUAAAAGUGUCAUGUUUCUUUAAUUAUUGUGGUCAUGUGCUUGUUACCCAGGAGGCACUAGUGACCAGGUGACCCCUCUAGUGACCUAUGGGCUCUUUGCUAGACACCCCAAUAAAACCAGGGGUGAUUCUACAAUCUCUCUCUUCCAGCAUUCUUGCUCCUGAGGUCCAGUUCAGCCAAGAUGUCUCAGAGUGUGUGUCCAGAGCAUUGGAGGCCUCAAGCCUAAAGUCCGCAGCCACAAAGUCAGCCCAAAUUUUUCAGUAAAAUGACUGACGUCAUUACAAAGUAGAAUUGAUGGCACAAAAACUAAGCGAUCAUAUGGAUUUUUAGGUGCAAAAUUGAAAGAGUUUUUAAAGGUUGUUCAGGGUUCGAAAUGAUGCGUUUCACCCGCAACAUUUGGCUCCAUGGCAAAGAUUUGAUUCUGGAUUUGGGAUGAAAAC